CCCAAACUCAGUGGCUCUGCUUCCUUCCUUAGGGGCCGCAGGGCCAGCGGGGGUAUCCAGGGAUGGCAGGACCCAAAGGCGAGACGGGUCCUACUGGCUACAAGGGGAUGGUGGGGACCGUUGGUGAGGCCGGGCGGCCGGGCAGGGAAGGCCC